rnacentral:tRNA from 1 species
GGGUCGGUAACUCAAUGGUAGAGUAUCGGCCUUUUAAGCCGAGAGUUGUGGGUUCGAAUCCCACCCGACCCA